rnacentral:rRNA from 1 species
UACGUAGGGCGCAAGCGUUAUCCGGAUUUAUUGGGCGUAAAGAGCUCGUAGGCGGCUCGGUAAGUCGGGUGUGAAAUUUCGAGGCUCAACCUCGAAACGCCACCCGAUACUGCUGUGGCUAGAGUCCGGUAGGGGAGCGUGGAAUUCCUGGUGUAGCGGUGAAAUGCGCAGAUAUCAGGAGGAACACCGGUGGCGAAGGCGGGUCUCUGGGCCGAUACUGACGCUGAGGAGCGAAAGCGUGGGGAGCGAACAGG